rnacentral:rRNA from 1 species
UACGUAGGGGGCAAGCGUUAUCCGGAUUUACUGGGUGUAAAGGGCGUGUAGGCGGGACUGCAAGUCAGAUGUGAAAUUCCAGGGCUCAACCCUGGAACUGCAUUUGAAACUGUAGUUCUUGAGUGAUGGAGAGGGCGGUGGAACUCCAUGUGUAGCGGUAAAAUGCGUAGAUAUAUGGAAGAACACCAGUGGCGAAGGCGGCCGCCUGGCCUGUUAACUGACGCUGAGGCACGAAAGCGUGGGGAGCAAAUAGG